GUGAGGGAGUGGAGGGUGGAGGAGAGCGAGAAAUAAUUGAUUUAAUGGUUAGCUCACUCAAAUUACAUAUUAAUUAAUUCUACUGUAGUAGUACAUUUUCAGCUCAUAUACAAAACAUCACUAAAAACCAGGCAUGCUUGCAAGUUGGGUAAACCUGCCCAUCAGGAGUUGGGCAAAACAAAACGGGUGGAUGGUGGUGCAAAUAAUCACAUUCAUCAAAGCAUAAGACAUCAGGAAAAGGUAAGUGGGUCAAACAAAAUGCACAGGAGGUGAGAUGUGGGUUGUAUCCACAAGAGGGCAAUAAAGGAUCAUACACUGACAAUACGGCACAACAACCUCUGGUGUGCUUUUCUAGUGGUUUCCAAAAUGAACCACAGAGAUCAAAGUUUCAGUGAGAUCAAGAUUAAUGUCAACAUUAUUUCAUGAGGUUCUCUCCACAGAUAUAUCUUCCCGUAUGUAGUAUGAACAGCUGCCUGUCUACCAAACUGUAUGUGGAGGAAAAUAACCCAUGAACCUCACUGACAAACUACUCUUUAAGUAAGGCUUGUGGAUUACUUUGCAUGUUUCGUUUAUUUGUUUCCUUUAAAUAGGAAGCUACAGCCGUAGACGGUUAGCUUAGCUUUGCAUAAAGACUGGAAACAGGGGAAAACAGCUAGCCUGGCUCUGCCCAAAAGGUGCAGGAUGGCCAGGAUGAUGGCCACGAGGAAGAUGACAAUGCAGCAGACGCUCACACUUAUAUAGAACACCUGGGUGGAGGUGGUGGGGGUCGUCUCACCAUCUACUGAUGAAAACAAGCCACACAUAAACAAUCAGACACAGCAAAGGAGAAACUCUGGAAAAUGGUGCAUCACUGCACACAAACUAACACCCUCAUUACAGAAAGCUUCAACAGCAUUUGCUAUUAUGAAAGAAUCAGAGCAAAAAUAUGAGGUAAGGCAAUGAGAUAAACACGAGUGAAAGGGGGUGAAACUAUAAGAACUCCACUUAGGGUUAAUGGAGUCCUUGAAUAGCAGAGGCUGUGCCCAGGAUCCAGUGUCUGAGAGCUUUUCUCAUCACCUCUCUAAAAGCCUUUGAGGGCCCCAGGUUCCUCGGGCCUACCCAAGCAGAAGGGAGACAACCCACUAAUGGAACUUUGUUACUGGGGCAGUGGGCUCACAAAGAGUCUGAAUAAAUCCCAUUGGAAGAGGACAACCACUCCAAGGGGUGGGGGCAGAGUGCACUUUAAUUGGAGAAUGAAUCCUUCUCUUUGGGCUCUGAAAUCAUACGUCUUGGUUAUGGAAGGUUUGACUAAUGUGCACUGCUAUACAGAGAACUUCUGUCUUGUCAGAAUGAUGCCACCUAUGAUAGACAAUACAUAGAGCUGACAGACAGGGAUAAGUAGAGCAGGAUGUGGAGGUGAGAUUACUUACAGUCAGGCCGUGGAAGAGUGUUAUUGUUCAGGGGAAGCUUCGGGUCAGAAUCUAUUCCUGUUCACAAAGGAAGAAGGAGAGAGAAUUAUGUCAAUUGAAUGGCAUACUUCAUUCACACAGCUACGAUAUUCAGUGCAGUAUGUAAUGCUGAAAGGAAAAACAAAGCUCCUGUAUUUAAUGAAACUAAAAAUGCACUUGACAAAAGGUUGAAAUAAGUUUUCACUGUCUGAUCACACAGACCCAGGAAAUAAAGAAACGUGUAUUUCCACCAUAUCUCACGAACUCCAAAGAUAAAGCAAAGCAGACCGAUGCCACAUUAAAAGGCAACAGCUGAGUGUGGGAUGUCAUUUUUGCAUACAACAUGACAACAACUCAGUAAAUGUGGUUGUUGGAUAAAGUCAAAAUGUAAUUUAAAAAGAUGUGUGUCUGUGACGUGAAGUCUUAAAGGAAAUUAAAACCACAGCGGGGAAUGCUGGCGGGCACCUGAAUGGGCACAAGAACCCGAGCCGGGCAGCAAACACAGCUGGACCGGGCCAGUUUGACGACAGGGAAUACAGUACGAGGUGAUUUACAGCGGCUCUGAGCAGGACUCCGGGGAAGACAGGGACAUGGCGGGUUCAGGCGGGGAGAGGAGAGGCGUAAGCGGGAGAGGAGCGAGGUCGGGCAUCAGAGGCAGCGUCAGCGUGCAGAGCCAGAAUAUCCGUUACAACUAACGCGGUGGAUUAAGGAUUUAUUUUGACCAAACCAGAGUUGGUGAUUGUUGGAACAGUGGAAAGACUAACCAAGACGGUUUUAGUGAGUUUUAUUUUCUGAAUAGAGUGUGUUUUAUGAUGAGUUAACAAGGCAUUUCAGCUCGUAAUAGAGAGAAAUGUGAAUUCAGAAGGUGUACGGUUGUAUUUUUCGGUUUAUUAAGGCAAAUAGAUGUACAAAUAUUUAAUUUCUUGACAUUUUGUGAGUUUAUUUUGUUUAUUUAUUAGACUAAAAAAAAGCUAAGAGCGCUUGUGUAAGGUAGCGAACUCCCUGCUCGCACACAUCUCCCAGCUGAAACUAUGGGAGGGAGGCCUGAG